rnacentral:rRNA from 1 species
AUUGAACGCUGGCGGCAUGCCUUACACAUGCAAGUCGAACGGUAACGGGCCUUCGGGUGCCGACGAGUGUCGAACGGGGGAGUAAUACAUCGGAACGUGCCCGAUCGUGGGGGAUAACGAGGCGAAACCUUUUCUAAUACCGCAUACGAUCUACGGAUGCAAGCAGGGGACCUCACGGCCUUGCGCGGCCGGAGCGGCCGCUGGCCGCUUAGGUAGUGGGUGGGUUAAAAGCUUACCAAGCCGACGAUCUGUAGCUGGUCUGAGAGGAUGGUCAGCCACACUGGGACUGAGACACGGCCCAGACUCCUACGGGAGGCAGCAGUGGGGAAUUUUGGACAAUGGGCGCAAGCCUGAUCCAGCCAUGCGGCGUGAAGGAUGAAGGCCUUCGGGUUGGAAACUGAUGUUGUACGGAACGAAAAGCCUUCUUUUAAUACAGGAGGGUCAUGACGGUACCGUAAGAAUAAGCACCGGCUAACUACGUG